UGUUUGUUAGCAAUUUUCUGUUUCUACCAGGAAAAAAUUGAAGAUAUUUAUGAUUUGAACUUCUAGGCUUCUUAUCCAGACACUCAAAAAAGCCUCCAGGAAAGAGAAUGACACAUGCAUGAAUAUCACUUGAUCUCUCAUAACUUGGAGCCUAGGCUGAAUGUGUAAAGUGCCAUCAUGGACAAACAUUACAUUUGAGGUUCGUUUGUCUAUUAAGUGCUUAGAACACACUGCCAAGGUUGUAUAUGCAGCAUGUUACUGUUUCCCAUUCCAUGUAAUACAAGUCUUCAAAUGAAGUGGCCCUGGGUGCCCAGGCAGUGCGCCAAGAGGAAGGCUACAUUGAACAGAGAUCCAAACGAAUGGAACCUUAGUACUGAAAUGAAAUCCAUGAAAGCUCUAGAAGCAGAGUACAAAUUGUUCAGCACUACUGCAUUUUGGCCUGCAAGAAAGGGGAUGUGCUGGAAAAGUGAAAGUCACAUCUUGCCAAAUCCUAGACAUUAUCAAAGCUUUGCCUCUCCCUCUCCACAUGUGAGUAGACAAAACAUAUUUAGGGCAGAUGCUUAUGUUACAGCAGUUAGCACUGUUACUAUACUCCACUGGCUGAUUUCCACAUCACUCUGUUAAAGUAGGAUUAUAUUUCUCUGCCAAUACCUUUCCCCAAUCUAGUUUUCUUACAAUGGCAUAUUUUUCCCUACACUAUCCCAUGCUCCCAAAUAGUUUUCGCAUUUUUACUUAACGAGAGCUACAUGAC